UGUAUACAUUUUACUUAUUUAUUUUCAAAAAACGUUACGUAAAAUUUCAUUUUUUUCCGUCAUUUAAUUUUUAGAAACUAGUGCAAUGACAUGACAGCGAUAGAUUCGGAACAGUGAGUAUUAGUAUUCGGAACGUGAAUAUUUUUUCGGUUAUUUUAAUAUUAGUUUAGUGCAUACCGAAUUACGUAAAGUAAUCGGUAUUUUAUCUAGUGAUUAUUGGAUUAUUGUUUUUUAAAAGUGCAUGUUAUAAAGAUAAAACUUCUUUGAGUGUGUGUGUGUUUCAAUUACAUGGUCACGGUUGGAAAGGACUUGAAAUAAUACUCCUACAGUCUUAUAAUCAUUGUUAAUAGCAGAUAAUUGAAUGAUAACUUUGUAAUCAUAUACUGCGAUAACCAAUAAUAUCGCGCGAUGGAAGUGGGGCACAGUAGAUUGCUGAAGUUUUUCAAGGAAGGAUAUAAGACACCAAACAUGGAAGAAGUACCAGUAAUAAAAAUCCAAAAAGAAUACAAAAAUCCCGAAAAUGUCGAAUCUGAAGUACCAGGAACGCAGACAAUCAGAGAGAGCGAUGACAAGAAUAUCGAUACCAGUUCCGAUAUCGGAACCAGUGAAAUACAAAUAACUAGUUCCGAAUUCACUCUGUCACCUGUAAUAACGGUUACUAAUAAAGAAACUUCACUAACUAAGGGCGAUUUGAAGUUACAAAAAGUUACCGUUACCGAAGAUAUAGCGGUAAGUUAUAAGCAUUUGUUCAAAAAAGAUGUAAAGCCCGGUAAAACUGUUGUUACGAGUGUGCAAAAGUUUGAAUAUAAAUAUUAGAUGUGAA
rnacentral:misc_RNA from 1 species